rnacentral:rRNA from 1 species
UAACGCGUAGCCCUCACAACCUAUGGACGGAAAUAACCUCGGGAAACUGAAUACUUGCCCAAUAAAACAUUAUGCCUGGAAUGGUUUAUGUUCCAAAUGAUUUAUCGCCGAAGGAUGGGACUGCGGCCUAUCAGUUUGUUGGGGAGGUAAUGGCCCACCAAAAUUAUUACAGGUACGGGUUCUGAGAGGAGUACCCCGAAGAUGGGUACUGAAACACGGACCCAGGCCCUAUGGGGCGCAGCAGGCAAAAAAACUUUGCAAUGUGCGAAAGCACAACAAGGUUAAUCCGAGUGGUUUCUGCUAAAGGAACCUUUUGUCGGUCCAACAAACACUGAUAAAUAAGGGGUGAGCAAGUUCUG